rnacentral:piRNA from 1 species
UAAUACAACGCCCAAGCCAUAGUUCCA